UACGUAGGGUGCGAGCGUUGUCCGGAAUUAUUGGGCGUAAAGAGCUCGUAGGCGGUGUGUCACGUCGGCCGUGAAAACCUGCAGCUUAACUGUGGGCGUGCGGUCGAUACGGGCAUCACUGGAGUUCGGCAGGGGAGACUGGAAUUCCUGGUGUAGCGGUGAAAUGCGCAGAUAUCAGGAGGAACACCGGCGGCGAAGGCGGGUCUCUGGGCCAUAACUGACGCUGAGGAGCGAAAGCGUGGGGAGCGAACAGG
rnacentral:rRNA from 1 species